GGGGAUGUAGUUAAAAAUAACAUUUAAAUUGCAAUUAAAAGGUACUAAAAUAUAGUCAUCCUCA
rnacentral:tRNA from 1 species